rnacentral:rRNA from 1 species
AUUGAACGCUGGCGGCAGGCCUAACACAUGCAAGUCGAGCGGAUGAAGGGAGCUUGCUCCUGGAUUCAGCGGCGGACGGGUGAGUAAUGCCUAGGAAUCUGCCUGGUAGUGGGGGAUAACGUCCGGAAACGGGCGCUAAUACCGCAUACGUCCUGAGGGAGAAAGUGGGGGAUCUUCGGACCUCACGCUAUCAGAUGAGCCUAGGUCGGAGUAGUUAGUUGGUGGGGUAAAGGCCUACCAAGGCGACGAUCCGUAACUGGUCUGAGAGGAUGAUCAGUCACACUGGAACUGAGACACGGUCCAGACUCCUACGGGAGGCAGCAGUGGGGAAUAUUGGACAAUGGGCGAAAGCCUGAUCCAGCCAUGCCGCGUGUGUGAAGAAGGUCUUCGGAUUGUAAAGCACUUUAAGUUGGGAGGAAGGGCAGUAAGUUAAUACCUUGCUGUUUUGACGUUACCAACAGAAUAAGCACCGGCUAACUUCGUG